GCUACAAAAUCCCAUGUCUCAACUGAGAAAGAGAAUAAAGGAGAAAAAGAAUGGGAAAGAAAAAUAAGGGUUCCUGUUCUAACAAAUUAAUGCACUUUCAACAUGCAUUGAUAAUCACACAUGAAAGUGAACUUGAAUUUUAGAGACUUAAUACUAAUAAAGUGUGUUAGUCCCACA